GUCUCAGGCCGUAUCAGCCUGAAGGCGCCCGAUCUCGUCUGAUCUCGGAAGCUAAGCAGGGUCGGGCUUGGUUAGGAUCUUGGAUGGGAGACCACCUGGGAAUCCCGGGUGCUCGAGGCU
rnacentral:rRNA from 1 species